GACGAACGCUGGCGGCGUGCUUAACACAUGCAAGUCGAACGAAGAGCGAUGGAAGCUUGCUUCUAUCAAUCUUAGUGGCGAACGGGUGAGUAACGCGUAAUCAACCUGCCCUUCAGAGGGGGACAACAGUUGGAAACGACUGCUAAUACCGCAUACGAUCCGACCUCGGCAUCGAGGAGGGAUGAAAGGUGGCCUCUAUUUAUAAGCUAUCACUGAAGGAUGGGAUUGCGUCUGAUUAGCUAGUUGGAGGGGUAGCGGCCCACCAAGGCUAUGAUCGGUAGCCGGCGUGAGAGGGUGAACGGCCACAUUGGGACUGAGAUACGGCCCAGACUGCGACGGGAGGCAGCAGUGGGGAAUAUGGCACAAUGGGCGGAAGCAUGAUGCAGCAACGCUGCGUGCGGGAUGACGGCGUUCGGGUUGUAAACCGCUAUCGCCUGUGACGAAGCGUGAGUGACGGUAAUGGGUAAAGAAGCACAGGCUAACUACGUG
rnacentral:rRNA from 1 species